AACGUAGGAGACAAACGUUAUCCGGAGUUACUGGGCGUAAAGGGCGUGUAGGUGGUUUUGUAAGUCUGGCGUGAAAUUUUUCGGCUUAACCGGGAAAGGUCGUCGGAUACUGCAAGGCUAGAGGGCGGUAGAGGCGUGUGGAAUUCCGGGUGUAGUGGUGAAAUGCGUAGAUAUCGGAAGGAACGCCGGUGGCGAAAGCGACGUGCUGGACCUCUUCUGACGCUGAGGCGCGAAAGCUAGGGGAGCAAACGGG
rnacentral:rRNA from 1 species